rnacentral:tRNA from 1 species
GGAGAGAUGGCUGAGAGGCUGAAGGCGGCGGUCUUGAAAACCGUUAAGGGCGAAAACUCUUCGAGGGUUCGAAUCCCUCUCUCUCCG